rnacentral:rRNA from 1 species
UACAGAGGAGCCAAGCGUUGUCCGGAUUGACUGGGCGUAAAGCGCACGCAGGCGGUUGCGCGCGGGGGGUGUGAAAUCUGGCCGCUUAACGGCCAGGCGCCAUCCCAUACGGCGCGACUGGAGUGAUGCAGAGGUCGAUGGAAUUGCAGGUGUAGCGGUGAAAUGCGUAGAUAUCUGCAGGAACACCCGUGGCGAAAGCGGCGCGCUGGACCACUACUGACGCUGAGGAACGAAAGCUAGGGGAGCAAACAGG